GAUGAACGCUGGCGGCGUGCCUAAUACAUGCAAGUCGAGCGAACGGACGAGAAGCUUGCUUCUCUGCUGUUAGCGGCGGACGGGUGAGUAACACGUGGAUAAGCUUCCUAUUUUACUGGGAUAACUUCGGGAAACAGUAGCUAAUACCGGCUAAUAUUUUGAACCGGAUGGUUCAAAAGUUAAAGACGGUCUUGCUGUCACUUAUAGAUGAUCCCGGGCUGCUUUAGCUAGUUGGUAAGGAAACGGCUUACCAAGGCAACGAUGCAUAUCGGACAUGAGGGAGGGAUAGGCAAACCGGGAACUGAGCCACGAUCCAGACCCCAAGGGGAGGCAGCAGGAGGGAAUCUGCCGAAAGGGGCGAAAGCCUGACGGAGCAACGCGGCUGGAGGGAUGAAGGUCUCCGGAUCGUAAAACUCUGUUAUUAGGAAAAAACAUAUGUGUAAGUAACUGUGCACAUCUGGACGGUACCUAAGCAGAAGGCCACGCCAAACUACGG
rnacentral:rRNA from 1 species